rnacentral:rRNA from 1 species
CCACGGGUGAGUAACACGUAUGCAAUCCACCUGUAACAGGGGGAGUAACCCGGAGAAAUCCGGACUAAUACCCCAUAAUAUGGGCGCUCCGCAUGGAGAGUCCAUUAAAGAGAGCAAUCUUGGUUACAGACGAGCAUGCGCUCCAUUAGCCAGUUGGCGGGGUAACGGCCCACCAAGGCGACGAUAGAUAGGGGUUCUGAGAGGAAGGUCCCCCACAUUGGAACUGAGACACGGUCCAA